AUUGAACGCUGGCGGCAGGCCUAACACAUGCAAGUCGAAUGGUAACAGGAAACAGCUUGCUGUUUCGCUGACGAGUGGCGGACGGGUGAGUAAUGUCUGGGAAACUUCCUGAUGGAGGGGGAUAACUACUGGAAACGGUAGCUAAUACCGCAUAACGUCGCAAGACCAAAGAGGGGGACCUUCGGGCCUCUUGCCCUCAGAUGUGCCCAGAUGGGAUUAGCUAGUAGGUGGGGUAACGGCUCACCUAGGCGACGAUCCCUAGCUGGUCUGAGAGGAUGACCAGCCACACUGGAACUGAGACACGGUCCAGACUCCUACGGGAGGCAGCAGUGGGGAAUAUUGCACAAUGGGCGCAAGCCUGAUGCAGCCAUGCCGCGUGUAUGAAGAAGGCCUUCGGGUUGUAAAGUACUUUCAGCGGGGAGGAAGGGAGUAAAGUUAAUACCUUGGCUCAUUGACGUUACCCGCAGAAGAAGCACCGGCUAACUCCGUG
rnacentral:rRNA from 1 species